ensembl:snRNA U5 U5 spliceosomal RNA
GUAUCUGAGUUUCUCUUCAGACUGUAUAAAUCUUUCGCCUUUUACUAAAGAAUUCUGUGGAGAGGAACACUUAAGAGUUUCUACCUAAUUUUUUUUUACAUAUCUGAGUAGA